UCCAACUCCUCAACAUACAUAUACGCACGUAUAUGAUCACAGGGGUCCAAAACUAUCUAAUAACCCCAAACAACAAAGCAAACAUAACACAGAAACAUGUAUACAUGCAUAACUCAUCAAAACCACUACUUCUCACUUAACCAUGCAUCUCUCUCCCUUAACUUCCAUAAAACCGUCAGAAAACACACAAACAGGUUCAAGAGCAUUACUUACCUCCUGUAACAAGAAGCUGAACACUCUGAACUAAGGAAAACGGAC
rnacentral:lncRNA from 1 species